GACGAACGCUGGCGGCGUGCUUAACACAUGCAAGUCGUACGGUAAGGCCCUUUCGGUGUUCCACGAUUGGCGGACGGGUGAGUAACACUUGCGUAACCUGCCCACAACUUUGUGAGAACGCUAGUAAACUGAUUCUAAUACUGAAUAUGUACUACUUCUUCAUGCAUGGGGUUGGAAAGCUCCGGCGGGUGUUGAUGGACUCGCGGCCUAUCUGCUUGUUGGUGGGGUAGUUGACUACCAAGGCGGCGACUGGUAGCCGGCCUGCGAGGGGGACCGGCCACAAUGGGACUGAGAAACGGGCCAGACUCCUACGGGGGGCAGCAGUGGGGAAUAUUGCACAAUGGGCGCAAGCCUGGUGGAGGAACGCCGGGUGCGGGAUGACGGCCUUCGGGUUGUAAACCGCUUUCAGCAGGGACGAAGCUUUUUGGGACGGGACCUGCAGAAGAAGCACCGGCUAACUACGG
rnacentral:rRNA from 1 species